CAUCCGAGGAGCGUUGCAGCGUCCCCAGCACUGGCGGGGCGUGAGGCUCGGAGUCAUCUAGCAACGACGCUCAUCCACU
rnacentral:ncRNA from 2 species